rnacentral:rRNA from 1 species
AAACCAACAGGGAUUGCCCCAGUAGCGGCGAGUGAAGCGGCAAGAGCUCAGAUUUGAAAUCGUGUUUCGGCACGAGUUGUAGAGUGUAGGCGGGAGUCUCUGUGGAGCGCGGUGUCCAAGUCCCUUGGAACAGGGUGCCUGAGAGGGUGAGAGCCCCGUAGGGUGCUGCGCGAAGCUUUUGAGGCCCUGCUGACGAGUCGAGUUGUUUGGGAAUGCAGCUCCAAGCGGGUGGUAAAUUCCAUCUAAGGCUAAAUAUUGGCGAGAGACCGAUAGCGAACAAGUACUGUGAAGGAAAGAUGAAAAGCACUUUGAAAAGAGAGUGAAACAGCACGUGAAAUUGUUGAAAGGGAAGGGUAUUGGGCUCGACAUGGGGGGUGCGCACCGCUGUCUCUUGUAGGCGGCGCUCUGGGCGCCCUCUGGGCCAGCAUCGGUUCCUGCUGCGGGAGAAGGGGCUCCGGAAAGUGGCUCUUCGGAGUGUUAUAGCCGGGGCCAGAUGCUGCGUGUGGGGACCGAGGACUGCGGCUCUGUCUCGGAUGCGGC